rnacentral:lncRNA from 1 species
UUCUAUUACUGGAACCUCCCAAAGGUUAGAUAUUCCUGAACAUGCAUUGGCUUGUCCGAUUACUGUUUAAUAGCUUCUUACCUGUUUUGAAGCUCUAAUUUUAUUAAGCGAAUUGGACGAAACCCCUGCAUACGAUGGUCCAGUUAAGAGUUUAAACCUAUUAUCUCAAGUCUGAAGUCAUCAUGUUCUGCACUCUGUUUAUCUAAAUUCAAUCCAUUAAUUUAAAGGUGGCAACUAAUCUGCUGUCUUAUUUGCUUCCUCUCCUCCUCUCUCUCUCUCUCUCUCUCGAUGGAGACUAAAGAGAAAACUCUAGAUUCGCUCCCUUAGGGUUUUUUGCCUUGCCAACUGCGAUCGUCCUCCCUUGAUGUGGACCAUGGAUAGUCUCUCUCCCCCUCUCUCUUUUCCCCUCCCUUCCUCCCUCUCUCCCUCUCUCUCACUUCCUGUCUUUCCUUCUAGCUCUCUCCCUCCCUCUCCGACUCUCCGUGUGUUGGUACAUCCCAAAAUGGCACGGUAUGGACCUGUACCGUGCUGAACCGAUCGCCUGCCGGUACCUCUCUCCAGUAUUGGUCCGACAAACCUUGCUUGGAAGUAUUCUAAAUUGAUAUGAUUUGUUAUGUCCGUACCGUGCCGAACAGGUUGCCGACUGGUAGCCCCCUUCGGUACCAGUUCAGCAAACCUUGCUUGGAAGUUCUUGAAUUGAUAUCAUUUGCUAAAUUGCUUGUUGCUAUUGCUGUACUCUAGCAACAUUGAGUGGACCCUCUCUUAGUGAGAUGGAAUUAUGCUUCAUUAUCACACAACUUCAUAUUAGUUCAACACAAAUUCUUCACAUAUUUAAACAACAUGCAUUUGAUAAGCGUAUUUCUUAAGCCAUGACACAAGGAAUUGAUUGGACUGAUUUUUUAUUUCUGUUAGGGCUUAACUACUUUGUAGAGUUUUAUUGACAUGAAAAUUUUAAUGUAUAGUAUUGUUGGUUACCAAUUGAUAACAAGAAUUUGAAGUAUACAUAUAUGGGUCAUUGGGGCCAUGAUAUGUGAAAAGUUGUGGUUAUGAGAGAGUCAGACUUUGCGGAUGAGAGUAACUGAAGUCAACUUUUAUGUUGAUAUGUUCAGGCGCCAGGGGAUUUUCAGUGAGUCAACUGAUUACCUUUAUAAUGCUGCAACACAAGAGAGAGAGACUACGCUUAACCAGCUCUUGAUAGAGCUUGAUGGUUUUGAUACUGGAAAGGGUGUUAUAUUCUUGGGUGCUACCAAUCGUAUGGAUUUGUUAGAUCCAGCACUUCUUCGACCUGGCCGCUUUGACCGCAAGGUUUGUUUUUUGGGCUUAUUGUAUACUUAUUGCGCACUUCUUUUUCAAUUAUCAGAAGUCAAAUUGUAAUUUUAAUGCCUUUUGGAUCUAUUCUGACUUCUUGCUCAGAAGUAUUCAAUGAUGAUAAGCAAAUAUAGGUUAUGCAAACCAUACUUGUGGACCCACCAAUUUCUUCUUUAAUCUAUGUUUGAUAUCCCUGAUAUACAUCUGUUGAUUUGAACGAUAGUAAAAUACAGUCAUGUUAAUCUUAUCCAUUGAAAUUGGUUGGUCGUGGUUUUAAUGCUUUUGCAGCGACAGAAAGUAUCUGAAUCUGAUCCAUGUACAGAUAGAUCUUGUUUGACAUGUCUGUGUUCGAAUAUAAUCAAUAUUUAUAUCUUUCAUAGUCGCAGCUCUCUCCUUUUCCAGGUAAGAAUCCGCCCACCGGGAGCAAAAGGGCGAUUGGACAUCUUGAAAGUUCAUGCUCGCAAGGUCAAGAUGUCACCAACUGUUGACCUGUCAACUUAUGCUCAAAAUUUGCCUGGUAAUUGACUCCCUUCUAUAUUUUUACAGCUUCAUUAAACUCUUGUGAAAUGUUCAACUUAAAAGCCAUUAUAGAAAAAUGUUUGCUUUUCGUUCAGAUAUUCUAUUCAGCUGAUAGAAUAUUAUAUUAUGGAAAACUUAUUUAUAUAUUCUUAAGUGCUGACUGGUGUGAAAGUUCAUUUAAGCCAAAACAUACAGGAUUGGGUCUAGCCUACAUAUGCUUUAUAAUCUUCUUUGUUCACAACUUUAUUCUUAAAAUAGUUUAGCAAUUUCAUGCUAUAGAGUAUGAAAAAUUAACCGUUAAAUGAUUAUACUUUUAAGUAAGCCAUUUUUUGAAGGAAUACGGUGACAUCUUAUAACAAUGCAAAAGCACCUUUAAGUUUGAACUAAAUUCUAGAUUUCUGUAAGAUAUGAUUUACCUUUGGAAGCUUAUCCUGUAUUUUUUUUACUUCCAUUCUCUAUGCAGGUGUACUCUUUUCCCCAUAUGUUUUUGGUUCUAUAUGCAGGUUACGUAAAACAUUUGGGUCACGUAUAAUUAUUUUAAACUAGUUUAUAAGAAUAAGAUCAGAUAUGAUGUGUGUUUGUGCACAUGUCCAGAGAGUUUCAGAGGCAUUGUUAAAUUAAACCAGAGUGCAGCAGUGCAAAUUUGGCAAAUUUGAUCGUUUAAGUUAACCAUGGUAAAAUAUAAGGGCCCUACUUGAACUCAAAAAGUUGGAGUGCAGAAUUAUGCCGUUUUAUCUUUUCAGAUGCUUGUUAAUUAACUAUCAGGGUGAUAAUUGAUAAGUCUUUGGAAAGGAGUUUUUCCAUGUAAUGGUGAAAACAUAUGAGGAAAAGGACUUGGCUUGUUAUAAGAUGAAAUUCAGCUGAGCAGCUGAUUUUGAAGAACAGGAUCUGAUUUAUGCAGACAUCGGUCUGCUAUUGAUUAAAAUUUUCAACCUUUGUAGAGAAUGAUCUUCGCUUUUUUAUAUCUUAUUAAUUUCUCACUUUUGUAGUAGACCGCUUAUCAGUUUAUUGAGUUGAUUCUUGGCCAUAUUAGGUUGGACGGGAGCUCAGUUGGCACAACUGGUGCAAGAGUCUGCUUUAGUGGCUGUCAGAAAUCGACAUGAUUCAAUUCUCCAGUCUGACAUGGAUGAUGCAGUUGACCGGCUGACAGUAGGACCUAAACGUUUGGGAAUUGAAUUAGGUCAUCAAGGGCAAUGCCGGAGGGCUGUGACUGAGGUUGGAGUAGCAAUAACAUCCCAUUUGUUGAGACGAUAUGAAAAUGCAAAAGUUGAAUUCUGUGAACGUAUUUCAAUCAUUCCUCGUGGCCAGGUUCUUUUCUUUUGUGCUCUGUAGGUUUAUUUGUCUUCACAAUGACUUCUGUAUUUGAUUUGGCAAGUUUAUGAUGAAGUAUGAAACUUGAAGCCUUCAAUAAUCUUAAUUUGAGUCGAACCCUUCAAUGAUCAUAAUUUGAAUCAAACCUCUGAAAGUAUUUUAUAUACUUGCAGACGCUCUCUCAAAUUGUAUUUCUUCAUCUUGAUGAAGAGUCAUACAUGUUUGAAAGGCGGCCACAGUUACUGCAUCGUCUUCAGGUAUGGUAUUUUUUUUAUUUUUUUUNNNNNNNNNNNNNNNNNNNNNNNNNNUUCAGGUAUGGAUUAGCUGGUCCAGAACUACCAUGAAGUGGGUUUUAUAGUCAUCAUCUUCUCUUCGACUAUCUGAGUGCUGUUGUAUUCUAUGGAUACGUAAAGGUACUAUUAGGAGGAAGAGCUGCUGAAGAGGUUAUUUAUGGUCGAGACACAUCAAAAGCAUCCUUGAAGUAUCUUGAAGAUGCAACUUGCCUUGCUCGUAAAAUUUUAUGCAUGUAAUGCAUCUUAUCUGUUAAUUUCCAGACAAUUUUCCAUCCACUGUUAUAUGUAUAGAGAGCUGCUUUUCAUUCCUUUUUUAACAGUUGGAACUUGGAGAAUCCUAUGACCAUACAUGGAGAGCCUUUUCCUUGGAUAAAGAAACCUAGCUUUGUUGGUCCUCGUUUGGAUUUUGAAGGAUCGCUCUAUGAUGACUAUGGUCUUAUUGAACCUCCAAUUAACUUUGAUUUGGAUGACCGAGUUGCUCAGAGAACUGAAGAGCUGAUGCAUGGCAUGUAUGGGAAAACAAUUUCUAUGUUGAGAAGGCAUGCUGCAGCCCUUCUGAAAACAACAAAGGUAUCCUAUUUUAAAGUCUUCUUUUGAAACUAAAUUGCAUUUACUUGGUUUUCAUUGAAUGCCGCUAGUGGUUGUGUUACUUUGUCAGUCUAAGGUUUUAGAUGGUCCUUGGUAAUUAUUAUGAUUAUACAAAAUCAACAUAUUAUGUUUCAAAAUGUUAACAUGGAAGAAUAACAGAUAUUAAGGUGGAAAGCUAUUCCCAAUAACAUAGCCAGUGGUUAAAUGUAAGUUUGAUAUUGCUGAUCUAGUCUGUUGUAUGUGCAAUGUUUAACUUUGUAGUUGAUAUCAUCUGCUCUCUGAUGCGGCCUCUCUUUUCCAAAUUUGCAGGUUCUUCUGGAUAAUAAGGAGAUCAGCGGAGAUCAAAUUGAGUUCAUUCUAAAUAGCUAUCCAGCUGAUACUGCAGUAAAGCUUGUUUUAGAGGAGAAAAAUCCAGGAAGCCUGCCCUUGUUUGAGGUGGAUGGGGACCGUGAUAUGGUGCUGUCCCCCUUGCUCCCCAUGAAAGAGGCAGCACAGUGACAUGGUCAUGGCAUGACUCUAGGCUGAUAUCUUCUAACUAACUACGAAGUCCAUGCCAAUGUAGCAAGAUAUGUCGAGACUCUGCAUCAUCGAGUGGUUGGUGGUGGCAUGAAACAGAUGCAGCUGACUUUUCUUUCUUCGGAUUCGAUGUGAAAAAUGAAUUCUCUGCCAGUGGAGAAGAGAGAGAUCAUGAGAGCCACCAGGUUUCAUGAUUGUCAUUUUUCCAUACUGGCAACGGUGUUUUGGUUGGCUUGUUUUGAUUGCCAACAAUCUCUUCUGCUUGAGCUUAAAUCACUAAUUUCACCACAUCAGAUGAGUCUUCAUGUACUUCACUCAAUCUUUUUCCUUGAUUUAUCUGAAUUCUUUUUUUUUUUGUAAAACCCAUUUGAUAAAACAUGAAAACACUCUUGGUAGCUCGACAGGAUAUUGUUUUUCGCUGAUAUUGGUACAUUAACCGGAGCUGCAUCUUCUGAGCCUCACAUUUCUGAAAAUGGAACAUGGAGAUUGAAGAACCAGAUGUUGGCAGAGGGUCAAACCUCCUGAGCUGGCGUUCUUUUUGAAAGGCUUUGCUUUCUAUUACUGGAACCUCCCAAAGGUUAGAUAUUCCUGAACAUGCAUUGGCUUGUCCGAUUACUGUUUAAUAGCUUCUUACCUGUUUUGAAGCUCUAAUUUUAUUAAGCGAAUUGGACGAAACCCCUGCAUACGAUGGUCCAGUUAAGAGUUUAAACCUAUUAUCUCAAGUCUGAAGUCAUCAUGUUCUGCACUCUGUUUAUCUAAAU